CUUUAACUCCGGUUGAUCCUGCCGGACCCCACUGCUAUCGGGAUGGGACUAAGACAUGCUAGUCGUGUGUCUCCAAGCUAUGGUGGAGACACGGCGCACAGCUCAGUAACACGUGGCUAACCUACCCUUGGGACAGGGACAACCCCGGGAAACUGGGGCUAAUCCCUGAUAGGUGAAGACUCCUGGAAUGGGUCUUCGCCCAAAGGACGUUUAGACCAUGCUUCUAGACGUCGCCCAAGGAUGGGGCCGCGGCCGAUCAGGUUGUUGGUGAGGUAACGGCUCACCAAGCCUAUAACCGGUACGGGCCGUGGGAGCGGGAGCCCGGAGAUGGGCACUGAGACAAGGGCCCAGGCCCUACGGGGCGCAGCAGUCGCGAAAACUCCGCAAUACGCGAAAGCGUGACGGGGCCAUCCCGAGUGCCAUCCGCUGAGGAUGGCUUUUCCCCAGUGUACACAGCUGGGGGAAUAAGGAGAGGGCAAGCCUGGUGUCAGCCGCCGCGGUAAUACCAGCUCUCCGAGUGGUGGGGACGCUUAUUGGGCCUA
rnacentral:rRNA from 1 species